AGUCUGCAACCCGACUACAUGAAGCCGGAAUCGCUAGUAAUCGCGGAUCAGAAUGCCGCGGUGAAUACGUUCCCGGGUCUUGUACACACCGCCCGUCACACCAUGGGAGUUGGAAAUGCCCGAAGUCAGUGGCCCAACCGGAAGGGGGGAGGCUGCCGAAGGCAGGUUCGAUGACUGGGGUGAAGUCGUAACAAGGUAUC
rnacentral:rRNA from 1 species